rnacentral:sRNA from 1 species
AAGGCAAGGAAACCGCGCGCCCCGCGGUA